rnacentral:tRNA from 1 species
GGGCUUGUAGCUCAGGUGGUUAGAGCGCACGCCUGAUAAGCGUGAGGUCGGUGGUUCAACUCCACCCAGGCCCA